rnacentral:lncRNA from 1 species
ACAUCCAACAAGCUCUUCUAGUUCAUUGGCUCCAUUUAUGGCCAGAAGAUGAAGAUUGGGAAGGUCAUUAGAAGUAGAUCCAGAGAAUAAUCUUUUCAACUUGUGACAAUGAUCAACAUGCAAUGCUUCUAGUUUUGGGAAACAUGGUUGAGGAGAAAGAAUAUUAGACAAAUUUUUAUCCCCUUCAAUGAUUUCUCUUAAUUCUUUGCAUUUCCUUAUCUUCAAAAGCUUCAACUCUGGUAAGCAUCUUACAACAGACUUUGGAAAUAUUACUUCCAACUUUUCACAUUCCCAUAUUUCUAAUGUGGUAAGAUGUUGGAGAGUAAGUGAACUGUUG